rnacentral:rRNA from 1 species
UACGAAGGGUGCAAGCGUUAGUCGGAAUUACUGGGCGUAAAGCGUGCGUAGGUGGUUUCUUAAGUCCGUUGUGAAAGCCCUGGGCUCAACCUGGGAACUGCAGUGGAUACUGAGAGGCUAGAGUGUGUCAGAGGAUGGUGGAAUUCCCGGUGUAACGGUGAAAUGCGUAGAGAUCGGGAGGAACAUCAGUGGCGAAGGCGGCCAUCUGGGACAACACUGACGCUGAGGCACGAAAGCGUGGGGAGCAAACGGG